rnacentral:lncRNA from 1 species
GUCAAUAAAGCAAGGUCAGCGUCAGCUGCUGGCUGCUGGCUCAUUCUGAAAGUGACAUAAAUGAGUCUGUUAGCGGACCCCGGGGCACUUGGUCUUUGUUCGUUCGCGCAUCAGUCAACGUCAACUCCGCCUUGAAAUAACAUAACAAAGUCUGUGGAUGGUUGCUUUUAGUGUCUCAUCGCGCCCACUCUACUCGGCAAGGUAAGUUUAGAGAUAGAAUCCGUGUGUGUGUUACGUUGAGUAGAUAAAGAUCCCUUUUGAACCUAGUGUAGCUAAGCAAACUACAAAUAUCAAAUCGAAUAUCAAUCUAAUACGAUAAAACACAUUCUACUAAAUAGAGCUAAGUAAUGCCAAUCAAAGAGUAGAGUGCUGCCCGCCUGCGAAAGAAAAGAACUAUACCCCUGUAGGAACUAGAACCUUGCUUGUUAGAUCAAACCAGCUACUCUGCUUUCUCAUUCCUCGAAUCCGCUCUCGAUGACUGGGACUAAGCCCUCCAAUUACUAUGGUUCCCAUUACUAUGUUUCUCAUGCCUAUGUUUCCCAUGCGGGUAGAGGUCCGCUACUCCUUUAUUGAAAUAGAACUUUACUGCAUCUCGGGCUUAACUAACUACCGGAGACAACCCUACCGCUAUAAUACUUUGACUACUAACCCUCAGAUCCAACUACGCCUAACAACUUUCGCUACUGCAUCUAAAGCGACAACUCCUAUCUGGCCUUAUACUACAUCCUGACUUGAAAACUCCAAUUCCCGACCUCAGAUCUGGCUUCUUAGCUCUAGUCUUGUGCUUGCCCAUUGCAUUCUUUCUUGUUGGUUUCAAACUUCAACUGUCCUAACUUUCAUUCCGUAGUUCUCUUAUCAGUCUUAAAAGCAGCAUUGAAAACCUUAUUUCUCCCCGUAAGCGCUAGUGCAAAGUCCGAGUGUUGAGCUAAAGUCUAAUAGAACUAGUUAAAGCCUAAAAGCUGUAUAGCAAAACCCCGGUUGAUCCUUGUUGUCAGUAGUCGAAGCCUAGAAGCAACCCUCGGCGCCAGAUCAUACCUUUCUGAGUUUUAGUGCUUUAUCAGGAGCAGCUAUAGCCUUGGUUCCUUGUUCUAUUCCGCUACCUAUGAGUUCGAUCCACUUCGAUUCCCGGUUGAUUUGUUUGAUUCUGCCUUGACUUACCUCUGCUCCUAUGUUUGAGCCUGUCUUUCCCGGGGUCUCUCCUCUCUAGGUGCUGAAAGCCUAUGAUGAGAAGACAGGCGAUAUAGAGUAGUAAAGCAUCCUUUCUAAAUGUGGAGCUGAUUGGAACCUCCUCCCAUUGGUGAAACGGAAACGAUCUUUAGCAAUCGUGGAUUGGUGUUCAGUAGUAUAUUAUUCUAAAGUAAAGAAGUCGUUCCGUUUAGGCGGGCAUUUCUUAAGGAGACGAGCGUGCAACUACAACAAGUCACUUGAUUUCUGUUUCCGAUCCCCGAGUUCAGGUAUUCUCAUGAAUCUACGGAAUGACAAGAGUAGGGACUACCCUCAUACUAGCCUCCGCUCAUUGGAAAUCAAAACCUGGGCCUCUUUACAUCAAACAAAAACAACAAGGUAGGGACGAGGUUUCUGUGAUCGGAGCUUACAAAAUGGAAGGUUGGUGAACAUUCCGAUCCCGGACUUUUGGCUACCUUACUAAAACCUUAAAAUGAGGUAAGGGCUGCCCAUUAUAUAUGGGAAAUAGAGGCUAUCACGGCCUAACCAAUAGACACCAUUCUAGCUCCACACGCGGUCUAAACUCACUAUAUUCCCCGACUCCUCACUUUCCGUGGAUUAGCUAGCUGCCUUACUUAGUGAAAGUGUCUUCGACUUAAAGCAAUCAAUCAUGCGUACCUUCUUGCUGUGUGGCUUGCUUAAGGGGUAAGGUAAAUUAACAUCUCUAGUGGUCCUACUUACCUUAACAUCAAGGUUCAAACGAAAGAAAGAGAGCGGAGCACGGGAUUCUGGCUUUUUCACAGGUAAGGGGAAUCCUUUGUAUAAGAUGCUUUCAUUAUAUAUGAAUAGAAAGAAUACAUCUUUCCGGAUGGUCUUGAUUUCUAAAUAAGAAAAGAAAGAGAAAUUCGAAAGAAUACAUCUUUCCGGAGGGUCUUGAUUUCUAAAUAAGAAAAGAAAGAGAAAUAGGCUUAUGUGCGUAUUGAAGUACGUGCACUUUCCUUUGUUCAGGAAAGCUUUCUUUGUCUUGAAGAUGCAAUGUUAAUCAAUAACGUCUUGUUCUGACCAAUCUAUGUUCCCGCUGUGAAGAAAAGAAAACGGAAGAGAAAAGAGCAGACUGGAAUAAGGACUUGGUAAUAACUCGUUCUGACGCCGACGAAGAAAGGACCAAGUAGCUCAUUCCCUUGUCCAGACAGUAAGACAUCUCCUAGAAAGGCUGCUUGCUAUAAGGGAAGGAAGUAGGUAAGCAGACUGGGGAGUUGGGCUUGCACCUACUUCUCCUUUACCGAAAAAAGGAAAAACGAUGCUAUACCCUAGAGUGGGGAACAAGAGUCAGAGAUCAGGGUAACAGAUCUCAGAGCAGGUUACGACUACGAAAGUGGAUAUAAUCUGUCUUGGCCUCUGAGGAAGGCAGCUAAAAGGGGAGCGGGUAUUGAAGAGCCUCGAAAGUCAGAUGGGACAGUUAGAGAUUUAGCGGCACGAGGGUAAACGGCAAGGUACGAGAGGAAGAUCCAGAGGGUAUACUUCUAAUGCAGGCAUGCCAUGAGUUCAUGCGAGGUUACUGUUUUCUACCCGUGAGGUUCGGGCAAAGGCAUAUGAGUUCCGGCUGAUACUCUUUGGUAGUAGGAUACUAAAUACAUCAAGCAGGGUUCCAAUCAAACAAUUAUAUAGGAUCGAUUGAGUAGAGCAUGUGCACACGGCCACCAGUCGUUUCUCAUGGGCUUGGAAGCUUGAAGUGAGAGAUCGGAUCGGACGCCAAUGGUUAUACCUGCUACAAACCUUCGAUUCUUGCUUUAGAAAUACGACCACAUAAAGUAGAGACUAACCAUCCAUUAUUUCAUAGUCGUAUGUUAUUAAUCCACCUUAGUUGUCCAGUUCACUUGUAAGAUCAAAGAGUAUAUAACUCUUUCUUCAACACUCCGGUCAAAGAGACCUCUCCAUCCAUAUAUCCAACAGGUGGGUCUCGGUCGUGAGGGAGUACGCUCAAUUUGUUCCGAUGAGCGCCUCGAAGUUCAGGCCUUAGGUUUUACAAAGAUCAGUAUAGUGUGUGAGGUGUCAUAUAUGAAUUAUUAGCACAAGAUUGGAAUUGAUCCGCUGAGUGACAAGUCUGCUAGUGACCAACCAUCGAGUAAAGCUAGGAGCACGCCGAGAACCAAUGGCUUAAGAAACUCAUGCCACAACAAGGGGUGAUGAAAGACUCGUCAGAUUAUUCUCACAGCGCUUCUAAACUAUGCUAAUCGGUCACUUCACUAUGAAAAAGGGUGUAUUUUCUGUCUUUCGUGCUUGCCACGCCGCACAAUAAGAGGGCUUGCUUUGCUUCUUCUUUCGCCGCUUCCGCUGCAGCAGAGUACCUUGACACCACUUAUUAGUGAGCACUUGAAGAUCAUAGUUCGAUCGAACGCUCCUCUAAGUGCUUUUCUUUGUAUUCGUAUCAAAAUGAAGAGUACUUUUCUACCAAAUACCCGGGUAAAUGGAAUUGGUUGGAUACCCCAGAGCCAAGAAAGACAAAGGUAACAAACCGCAGAGGCCGAAUACGAGGGCCGGGAGUUAGGGGAGUUAUGUUGGGUAAUUGUACGAUGGAUGCUAUGUCCUCAGGCGCUCAGUCAGGUGCUAUUGAGCUCUUUAUUCCGAUUCACUUGUAAGCAGAAGGCGAGCUAGGAGCCAAGCACUACGAUAAGAUCUAUCAGACGACGACUAGCGGGGUCGAUCUUACUUUACUGAGUAAGUGUAAGUGAGGUUACAGAUAAUGAGCUAUGAUAUACCCCUCUUAACAAAGUGAAAGACCCAAAUUUCCUAUAUACUCUACAAAAUCUCAUUCAUUGCUAUUCCAUUUGCAUUUGGUUAUGUUUAUUGUUAUCCACGCUAUGAUGUAAAGGAAUUCCUACUAAAUGAAGCAUCUGAAUGCCAUGCCCUUCUUGACUCCGAACAACAUGUUCUAUUAGAGACGAGUUGCUUUACGCCCUUGUUUUGAGUUCUCUUCUCGCUCUUCACUGGUCUCCCAGAACUAAGAAGGUGUUAUUUUGGAAGCUGUUGCCUUUUACGCUGUUAGCGAUGAGUGAGAUGAUGCCACACCAACAACCACCUUAGAAAGCACUUAUGCGUAUAAAACGACUUCCCUUGAUGCUGCCAUCUUCGUCUGCUCUUUCUGCCCUCAGUAGGUUCUUCUUCUGUUUCUUUUCUACUGACUCUGUAUCCGCAAAUGAUGCUUUUGGAUUAGGUUCUCCUAUCUAAUAACAACAAAACUAGUAAAAGCAGUGAAAAAAGCACUUUGGACUUUGGAACUGCCUGAGCCCGCCCGGUUAAGCUCUUCUUCUUAAGACCGGUUUUAGUUUGAAUCAACGCUGGGCAGAUUGUUCUCCUACUCGAGUUCAAAGGGUCUUAUAAUUCAUAGCUAUUCUUUCCUCCAAACUAUCCCGCCAGUCAGUGGAUUGGAGACCAGUCUUCAGACAAGCAAGAGAGGAGAAGGGCACUCACCCUAUCUAUCCCAUUGAUCCAUCCAGUGGAAAUACGAGGAUUCUCCUAUUACUAAGCUUAUGGGAGAGAAUAGAGUCAAGCUAGCGACCAUACGAAGAUUCUCCUAUUACUAAAGCUUAUGGGAGAGAAUAGAGUCAAGCUAGCGACUGUCUAGCCUCCUGAACUCUUUCGCGCGUACAUCUUGAGACUCAAAAGGACAGUUCCGCUUCUCUUUCACCGUUAGAACACUCGCGGAUAGAACAGGAAGAAAAGAGGGUGGGUUCUGGUCAUACUUGCUCGCAACAGGUGCUUCUUUCUUUCCCGCAACCGAGGAGCUUACCUUAUGCUUUUGCCCUACCUCCUUUGAUUCCUUUUAUCUCAGUACUGGUUCAGGUUCGAAAUAGGUAGUUAUUAUCGGAGGUAUUCUCCUUUGACAAGGUUUAGUAAAUAUAAUAUACUCUAACCGGCCCUCUUACUCUUAAGUCAGUUCGAAGCAAGAUAUCCGUUAUUAGGACACAAAACCAGCCUUCACUUACUUACUUAAAUGAAAUAGGAAUAAGGAAACUAUAGUCGACAGUCUUUAAGAAGAGAAGAUUAGAACCAAAAAUGAGUCGUCCCACCUAGCCCCAAAAGGGAGAACGGAAAACCAACAACAACAUGAAAGAUGAAAGCGUUCCUCCCCUCACUCUAAUGUCUAAUGCCCCUUAAAAAAGGGUACCUUCUCUCCACUCGCCUUAAAGCGCCAUACGGGGUAGACAAAGUGACAUUCAUUGUCAAUAAAGAAAGAAGAUCUUUUGUCUCUCGCUUAGCUUUGGAAUAUGCUAUGAUAUUAUGUUUCCAAGGGUCUGAUAGAACUAAUCCUGCUGCAAUUAGUUUCAAUAAAUGAAUAAAGGUUCCUGAGACCCGCUCCCCUUUCUUUUCCCAAUUGGGCUUUGCGCCACUUCGGAGAGUGAAACGCACGAAAGGAGGUAUAAUUCUUCCUUUUUUGAGCCUUGGAGCCGAAGGAAGACAAAUGGGACUCGCAUCCAUUGAGAAAAUGACUUUCCCUGCAAGCGAUACAACUAUAGAGUGUGAAAGUGCUUGUAUUGACCGGAAGCGCUGGAGAACUUAAGAUGAAGAUGGUACCAUUGAGAAAGAGAAAAAUAGAAUAGGUUAACUAAGGCUAAAGAAGAAAGAAGACCUAUCGACUUAUUACACUUCGCCCUUGAUUUUGGAUACUGGAGGGCAGCUCCCACUAGUUCUGUUCUAUAGGUAUCUGUAGUUGUAAUAGGACUUACUUCUCGACCGGAUUACCCAAGCUUUAGCUUAGCCGAAAUUGGUAUUUUAUUGGGUGGGCUGGGCGCUUUCCUUAAUGCGACACAUCAAAAUAAGGUCAAUGAAGAAUGCUGUCUAACCGAUCCUCAUCGUCCCGGAAUCAUGGAAUUGGGUUGGUGUUCUUUCGGGCUUAAUUCCCCUUUCGAACUUUAUUAUACCUCUGCUGCCCACAGAAUCAAAGAGAAGGACAAAGACGCCUAGAUCGACAUGGAUUCUAGAAAAUGCUCCAUCAUGAGUCGAGCCAAUAACUAAUGAUCCUGUCUUCCUGUUCGCCUAAUGGCUAAAAUAUGAAAAAGAAUUCUCCUUUCGCGAGAGAACUGGUAAAGUUAUUCCUUUUCAUGGACCUGCAACAUCCUGGGACUAUCCAUUCGAAAGAGCUAGAGCUUGAAGGAAGACCUCCUUCCCAUAAUUAGAGUGGAAAGGGAAUCUUAUACACCAAACCUGUAAAGAAGGCAUGAACAAUAGAUAGGGCAUCUAGCGAAUGCUUGGAAUGGGUUCGCCUCUCAGCGCCUACUAUGAUUAUAUAGGCAAUUAGUGAAAAUACAGAGAGUUAGGAGAAGCUUCAGAGAGAUCAUACGAAUAGGACCAAAAGGAGCCCACAUCGAUAGGGUCAUUCAUAAGCCGAGUUCUUCCUGGGAUGAAAGCCUGAAACUAGAAAUGUGACAGUUGCAGUUUUCAAGUAAGCAGCAAUCGGGUAUCUCGGUCAAAAGUCAACAGUGGAGGUUGGGCGCUAAGAGAGUUUAGUUCCUACUUCCGGACCCCAAUCCAAUAGUACCCUUUUUGCUAACGCUGUUCAUAGUAGCUAAGGUCGCCUGUAUACGGAGCCAGAGUAGGAAUAAGAUUCAAGGAAGCCCCAAAGAAAAGAAGAAAUACCCACGUAACGCUUAAGCUGUGCGAGUAGAAUGAAUUGGUGUUGGCAAUUCCGGUAGUUUAGUUCGGGUCAAGCCAAGUAUAAGGGCUGGAAGAAUAGAUAAGGAAAGGCAAUGUCAAGUGUUUGAGGGAAUGGCGUGAAAAGCCCUAUUUAUUGUCGUUUAAGCAAGGGGAAACUAAGAGAAUCAUACUAAGGAUUCAUCUCUUGAAACAGCCAAGACACGCAAAGACAACUAGAAACGCCAAGACACGCGCCAAGUCACUCCUAAUGUGUAGCGGCAGCCUUCUCCACUUUUCUGGAUUAUUUGUGAUUUCUAAUUGAUUGUUUUCCAAGGUGAGAAACAUAAGCCUUCGCCAGGUAAUAUAGAAUCCAUCCAAUCCAAUCCGGUAACACUCCCUCUCCCUAGUCAUUAACUCUUCUUAUCAUAGCCAUUACCUUUCUUUUCUCCUUCUCUUAUUAGCCUAGCAACAAUAUUGAUUUAUAUAAUAAAGACGUUAGGCAAACAUUUGAUACCUCCCGUAAGCUCGUUACGCUUAACGCCCACUUACUUAAAGACUCGUUUGACUCAAGAAAUUCGAAUAUUGAUUUGAGUCCAGAAGCUGUUGCCCUUAUCCGGAUUUACCCAGUGAGGUUGGCGCUUUUGAGUCAACGUUGACACUUUCAAUGUAUGGAUCAUACCAUUACUGAUUAAGUCGUAUAGAAAUAUAGUGCUGGCAGAAAGGCACUCUCAAAGCAUGGAAUUCCCAAGCAGGCAGAUUCGAAGGUAAGGUCAAAAGUGCAAGGCAAAGCUUAGUCUCUGUCUGAUCCUAGGUGAACCACCUUUAGCUUUCGAUAAGACAGUUCAAGCAGAAAGAAGGAUCUCAAUUACUUUACUUUCGGCGUAAGACACAGUUUUCGGGAGCGGAGUUGGCAGGUAGCCCAGGAUUUCAUAAGUCACAAUUAUUGGUCUCCUUUGAAAGCGGGGUUGCCUAUGAAAGCGCCCUUUCCUACAACUAGUAUAAUAAUGCCGUCAUCACUUUGAUUUUAGUUGAUGAGGUGAUCAGAUCUCGCCUCUAGGCAGGUCGAAGAACAGAUUGUUAUCACAGUGCUACCACCGAAUACAACAAUUAGACAGCUCAGUUAGGAUUUCUCCCAGACAUUCCUAGAGUAAACCCUACCUUACUCGGGAAAUUUCACAUUUCAGUCUCUAAGUUCGCUAGACCAAGCUGUAAAGAAGAUGUAUAUAGCGGUAGACAGUUAUAGACGUGUGGGAACUCUUUUCCUAUCUUCCUCUCGCACACCGUUAUUGGUUACGAAACCUAGCUCCCGGGUCGGUCCUUUCGCCGGGCCACCACACAAAGGGGACAAGGCCUUCUUCUCUAGUCUAGGAUUCUCCACCAGGUGCCUCUUCGGAUUCGGAUGUAGAUGCGUCUUCCCUUGAUUUACUCCACAAUAUACCCACUUCAGGAACUAUCAGCUGGAAUGGGUUCUCCUUCUUUGUUAAGCAGAGACAGGUUCAGAUGUGGUGGUUUCCGCCCUCAUUCACAUUGGUAGGGGUAUGCCGCACCCGAUACUUUACCUUACACUGGGAGUACUACUUUCUACAAGCAAGGCAGGUUUGAAAGGCCCAGGCCAGCCCUUCCUUUCAUAGGAAAGAGCAAUUACUUCGCUUCCUUCGGAACCUUUGUUUGAAUGCUUAAGCCUAGAAAGAUCAUUCGUUAAGAAAACAGAUAGAAUAUUCUAAGAAAGUAAAUAGGAAUUGCUAUCACCUUAAGGUUCAAAAGCAAGCAUGAGACUGAAUAAAUAAGGCAUCUGUAGCAAAGUAAGUAGCAAAGGAAGUAGUUUAAUGCUGACUAACCGGCUACGGCCCCCUAAAAUGAGCUCAAGCUUUACGAGUGGACGAGGACCGAUGUUCAUGUGCGUCAGUUGUUAUGGAGUUAUGUGUAUUAGAGUGACAACGGCCAAGCAACGGAUAGACAAGAUAUGUUUAAAUCGUACCGAGUCCUGGCUUUGUUGUUUCCCAAUACCAGUAGUAAGAGGGAGUUUCUAACCUGGGCUCAUCAGAGUGUGAGACUAGCUCUUGGAUUCGUUCUGCCUGUCAUUCUACUGCCUUUCAUUCUAUAUCCCUUAGUACUGUUUUCUCUCCUCUAUCUCUUCCAUCCCUUGUCAAGCCUUUGUCUAAGUGUUUUAAGGUUAAGUGAGCAAGACAGUGAUAAAUAAAGUGCUUUGAUCCUGUGAGCAAUCCAAUUACUUGCCAAGCAACUAGACAGCUAGGAGGAGCAUGUUGCCAGGACUUGGUAAUAUAAUGAGUCAUCUCUCAUGAAAAACCAUUUCCCCCCUUAUAAGUAUUCAUUCGAACAUGGUUAUGACCGAUAGAUAUGACCGAUAUCCGUCAAAGAAAUCAGUAACAUUAGGUCACAAGUUCUUCUAUACCUAUGGCUCCGAUACCUCUUCCAACUAACCUAACUCCCAAACCACAUAGAGAGUAGGCAAGCAGACAACUAGCUACUCUCAACUACUGGACUGGAACCCUUUACUAUACUUGCUGUAAACUUUACCUCUCCUCAAGCGACUAUAACUACUCAAGCGACUAUAACUACUCAAGCUACUCAAGCGACUAUAACUACUCAAGCGACUAUACUUCUGGCUCUUCUCUGCUAACUUCUUUCUUAUCUUAUACCUCUGGCAACAAAGCCCUAAAUAAGAAGUUCCUCUUCCUUCUUAACCCUCCCUCGACUUGAAAGACUGUAAACUCGAACAAGUCACUACUUUACCGCAACUCUGAUAUCCAAUACCUAUGGCUACUACACCUAUUCUCUAAACUAAGAGAAGAGAUCUGCUUUCACUAUGCGCUCUAAACACUGACGGAGACCCUACCCUAAGCUCUAACUCUACAAGCAGAAGCGCUUGCAGCCUACUUACUUUAUACAGCUCCGGAUCUUGUUCUUUCUACUCUAACUCCAAAACUCCACUUUCCGAAUCAACUUCACUUGCAUAACCGCUUGUAGCUUCCUUUAGUCAAGCAUCUGCUCCUGCUUAUUCUUAUAGGUUAGGCCUGGACAACUUAAACGUAGAAACUCCAUUCUUAAAGGAGUACAUGCCUGGUUGGUUACCCAUAGCAAUUCUACCUAGCUCAAUCCUAUUCUUCUGUUUAGUCCUCCACAGUGGAAAUUAUGACUUUAGAGUCACAUUCUUUAUUGUGAGUUUCGAGCCCUAGGUGGGUGACCUUUUUCUAUUAAACAGAGCUCCAUCCCCUUAUUCCGCUUUUGACCUUCAAGUUCCAUUCUGAUAUGUAUGUUGUUUCAUUCUUUGACCAGAUUGGUUAAGGGCACGUACACUCAUAUUCCGUAUACCUCGCUUCCAAUCCUGAUCCAGAUCUUGAUUCCGCUUCCUUACCUGAUCCUAGAAAUGGCACUGUCCUAGCUACUGACUUGCGUAUGCGAGGUGGAUUCUUGGAUUUACUGGUUGGAGAAAUUACAAUAAGGAACUACUUAGCUCAAUUCUACCCCUUGCCUUGAGAGCUCCAUUCUAUCCCCUGUCAGCUUAGGUUCAUUCUUUGAUUUACUGGCUGUAUUCUUAGUUGUACUUGUUUAAGUCUUUCCCUUGCUAGCUAUAUUCUCUGUGGUACUGCUUUGAGUCUCGGUGGUAUCGGUUUGAAGGAAUUCUAAUAAAAUAAGGGUCGAAAUCCAGCUGAAGUCUUGUUGGUACUGGUUGAAGUCCUGGAGUUAGUGGUCGAAGAAAUUAGAAUAAGGUCCUCACUACUAUCAUUCUGUUUGUUAGUAGCUAUGGCGCCUUGGACUCCCUGGGUUCAGUCUGAUAGUUAGUAGUCGUAUUCUUAAACUACCUCGUUGCAUUCCUGUCCUUGCUAGCUCCCCUCUGAGUGGUAUCGGUUUGAUUCUCACUGCCACUGGGUUAAGUCUGGGUAGUUAGAUGCCUUAGCCCUGUUACCCUGUGUUUCAGUCUUGUGGUUACUGUAUUAAGUCUUAGAGUCUUAUACUAGAUGAUAGGAGAAUUUCUACCUUUUAUAGAUCUGUAGUCCAGAGGCCCUUUUAUUAAGUCGCCAUAGUGGAGUUCGGAAAAAGGAAAGUGAUGUUUCCCUAUAUUUCCCUAUAUAAGUAGAGUCAACGGUCUCCUAUGGUUUACUCUGCUGUGUCUGUACUUAGUCGGUAUAUGAUAAAGAGAACUUGGUUUUCGUCUUUGUUUAUCAAUUCCUAAAGUUUUCUGUUCCAUGAACUCACUCCUGACUGCUUCCUCGGUAGCUAGGUAUGACAGAGCAACCGAAGCUUCUGUUUCUGUAGACGCCAGGUAACUACAGAGGAAUGGAAUUGAGCUCUUCAUAAUAGAAGUAAGUUGGUAACCACAGAGCAUAGGUAGCUGAACCCAUAAGGGAAUCAAGAUCUGACUUAGUUCAAAGAGUUAGAGUAGAGGAUAAGAAUUCAGUUCAUUGUUUACAGAGGUAGAUUAGAGUCAAGCUUCUCAGUGCCAGUUUUCUUCUUUGGUCCGCAAGCCAAGGUGUCAGCCUCAGGUAGUGGAAUGAUUUGUUUCAAGGGGAUGGGUUCUACUACGGGAGAGAGUAGCUCUAGUUUCAUGAGUUGUCGAUUCAGAAUCCCUUGUUGCAUUUAGUACUGCUUCUGUUCUGGUUAGAGUGGAAUGAUUUGUUGCGAGUAGUUGCUAGUUGGCAUUUCAGAAUCAAACAAGUCAGUAGAAGCCUUAUANNNNNNNNNNNNNNNNNNNNNNNNNNNNNNNNNNNNNNNNNNNNNNNNNNNNNNNNNNNNNNNNNNNNNNNNNNNNNNNNNNNNNNNNNNNNNNNNNNNNNNNNNNNNNNNNNNNNNNNNNNNNNNNNNNNNNNNNNNNNNNNNNNNNNNNNNNNNNNNNNNNNNNNNNNNNNNNNNNNNNNNNNNNNNNNNNNNNNNNNNNNNNNNNNNNNNNNNNNNNNNNNNNNNNNNNNNNNNNNNNNNNNNNNNNNNNNNNNNNNNNNNNNNNNNNNNNNNNNNNNNNNNNNNNNNNNNNNNNNNNNNNNNNNNNNNNNNNNNNNNNNNNNNNNNNNNNNNNNNNNNNNNNNNNNNNNNNNNNNNNNNNNNNNNNNNNNNNNNNNNNNNNNNNNNNNNNNNNNNNNNNNNNNNNNNNNNNNNNNNNNNNNNNNNNNNNNNNNNNNNNNNNNNNNNNNNNNNNNNNNNNNNNNNNNNNNNNNNNNNNNNNNNNNNNNNNNNNNNNNNNNNNNNNNNNNNNNNNNNNNNNNNNNNNNNNNNNNNNNNNNNNNNNNNNNNNNNNNNNNNNNNNNNNNNNNNNNNNNNNNNNNNNNNNNNNNNNNNNNNNNNNNNNNNNNNNNNNNNNNNNNNNNNNNNNNNNNNNNNNNNNNNNNNNNNNNNNNNNNNNNNNNNNNNNNNNNNNNNNNNNNNNNNNNNNNNNNNNNNNNNNNNNNNNNNNNNNNNNNNNNNNNNNNNNNNNNNNNNNNNNNNNNNNNNNNNNNNNNNNNNNNNNNNNNNNNNNNNNNNNNNNNNNNNNNNNNNNNNNNNNNNNNNNNNNNNNNNNNNNNNNNNNNNNNNNNNNNNNNNNNNNNNNNNNNNNNNNNNNNNNNNNNNNNNNNNNNNNNNNNNNNNNNNNNNNNNNNNNNNNNNNNNNNNNNNNNNNNNNNUAGAACAAAUAUGGAUCCUUUUUAGGCUUGGCCCCUCCUGAAAUGAUAUCUUAUCUUAUAUAGGAGAUAGUUUCGAAAGAGAGAAGCCAACAUAGAGAAUAGUUGCCUGUUGCCAUAGUUCGGGCCCUUAUAGUACUUUCUUUCCCCUUGUAAUGGAGGUCGGGUGCUCAAACAAAAGAAGUUGGUUCGGGUCAGGCACUUAUUAGAGGUCAGGUCAUCAAGGGGAGUUAUUGUUUCAAGAGCCAGAGUGAGGUUUUAGGUUAAAGAGUACAGAGCCCUAGGUUGGUUCAGAGCAAUCUAUCUUAUACAAGAAGCCGAGGAUCAUCUAGAAUAAUGUCCUGUCGAAUCAGAGGUGUAGUGUAGUGGUAAAGUUCAAUCCGUAUUUGUUAGUUUACAGAGGUAGAUGAGACUGUAGGUCUGUUAUUCUUCUUAUGUUAUGAGUAGGAAUACCUGGUAGUCCUGUUUCAUAAGAGGUAGCAUAGAAGUGAUAAGAGAUGCUAAAGUAAGUAAAGUCUCUUUCUGUUCUUGUGUAGGUUAAAUAGCCAGCUGCUGUAGUGGAGUGGUAGGUUUCAAGCCCUGAGCUAAGUAGUGAAAAAGUUUCAUAUCAAGUAGUUGUCCAGUGGAAUCCCCAACAAGUAGCAUCCCAGUAGUAGUGGUCCUGUUUACAGAUAAGGGAGUCGAGGUAGGCAUACAAUAAGAAUGGAAAUAGAGUUGACAGUUCCAGUUAUCAAGUACAGAAGCUAGACUUGCUUUUUCAUAGCAUUGGUUGAGUGACGGAGCCCGUAGUAGUUGACAGAGGAGUAGUUAGUGGAAUACCGAGUUUAGUCUUAAAGUCUGGUUUCGGGUUCCAGUCCAGUAGUAGUAGCUUGGCCCAGUUAGUAGUUAGUAGAUCCCUUAUUCUUUGUAGUAGUAGUAGUAGCAAGAGAAGAGCCAUAGGUAAGAGGUAGCAUGGAAGUUAGCAUAGAGGAGCAAGCAGAGUUCCUUUAUUCACUAGCGGCAGAGCAGAGGGUAGUAAUAGAUUUGGAGAGUUAUUAACGAGUCCUGUGUUUGGGAGUGGUUAGUUGACAGAGCCAUAGUUUAGGUCGGGGAAGACAAUAAGUGUAGCAAGAGGAGAGGUGUAGUAGCCGAACACUAGCGGCAGGCAAGGGAAGUUUUGUUUGGUGCUAUAGCUCUAGUAAAGUUGCUAGGGUAGGCUGAGGCUUGUUCCAUUACUUGUUUACUUACUCGUUGGGAUGUGGGUAGGUAUUCCCUUGUUUGAUCUGUUGGGUAUGCUUGUUUUCAUUCCUUUACUAGGUCGGGUAGUCAAAAGAGAGUACCAUCUUUUAGGGUAGGGUCGGCUGGUUUACUUACGGGCUCGGGUAGUUUACUGACUUGGAAAACAAGAAAUUAGAAAUCAUAAAUAAUCCAGGCCAAGUAACUGCUAAUGUUACGCGGCAGCAAGUGACAGUCAUAACGAAGUUAUUACAAUAUAUGUCUUCGCGUUUUGAAACCCGUGUACUGACUAAGUAGAGGAAAGCCUACUUCAUUCUAUAUUCUCUUUAUAUAGGUGAACGGAUGAAACCACCGCUUCCAAGGCUGAUAUCAGUGCUACUCAGAACCAAACCUGUGAGUUACAGGCUGCAGCUGGGUAGCUCGGGUCUCUAACAAGUGCAGGGCAGACUGCUAUUGGGUAGUGAUAGGCUGAAGCUAAGGAGGGAAAGACUUAAAGCAGUGCCAGCAAGACUACAACCAUUGAGUCAAAGAAUGGGACGAUUGAGGGCAAGAAUGCAGCCACUACAACCAAGAAUGCAACCGGGGAGUGAAAGGCCAAGCCUGAAAGUAGGGAGUCCAAGGCUUAAAGCAAGGGUAGUAAGUCCGAUGCUAGGUAUUGGUAUGUAGCUAAGGUAGCUAGGGUCUCAAUUGAGCUAGUAUUGGUAUGUAGCUCGCUCCUGUAGCUCUAGUUCGAAAGUCAGAAUGUACCUAAGGAGUUAAAGAGUGGAGCUAGAGUUAAAGAGUGUAGCUAGUAAGGGGUAGUCCAGGUAGUCCUGGUAGUCCCGGUAGUCCUGUGAGAGGUAAGUUAGAGUCUAGGUCGGCACUUAAAGGAUAGGUCGGCAGACAAUAAGAAUGGAAUGGAAUUAGGUGACUCCGGAGAGGCGUAGUUGCCAGCAGCUGGGCUUGUUAAAAGAAGUAGGCUAGUAGGAAGAAGUAGGCUAGUAGGAAAGAGGUGAGCUAGUAGGAAAAUAGGAAUGAAACUAAGAGGUCAGCUUGUAGGAAAGCUAGAAAUAUAUCUUAUAUUAUUAAAGAAAGCAGAAUGUCAUAGAAUAGAUGUGGUUGCGCCUAUUAUGUGUGCCUAUUAUGUGUGCCUAUUAUGGGUGACCUGUAGAAUAGAUGUGGGUGCCUCCCCUGAGGGGAUCUAUCGAAUCAAUCCAUUAGGGCUGGAGUGGUGGACUGACUUGUGGAAUUCUCCGUUAGUGCUGAGGAAGCUAGUCCUUCUUUUGGUGUUCUUGUUGAGGGAAGCUGUGGAAUCAGUAUUUGCUUUGAAAGAAAUCAAGAAAUCAAGUGGAGCAAGAGGUCAGAGGUGGAUGAACCAGACCAGAGGAGUGGUGUCAGCAGAGCAGGAGUAUCGAGUUUACUUAACACUGGCAUAAUGACUUCAUUUCUCAGAAAAACGAAUUGGAUUUCUCCUAGACCAACUCUGUACUAGCUAAGAAGGGAAAAUGAGUUAUAUAAAUCUCUGUUAUUAUAUAGGUGAAUUGGCUUGGCCCCCGCAUCUAGGUUAAGAAUCAAACUAACUAGCCAAAGAACCAAACCAGAGGAGUGCUAUCCAGGAAUGAGAGGAGUAAAACCGGUGCUAUCAGGAAUGAGACAAGGUAGUUAAAGAAUAGAUCUGGGGCUACUCAGCCUGAUACCACUACAAGCAAGCCUUAAAACAGUGAACCCGAGGCUCAAACCCAUGCCCCAAGCCUUCAACCAGUCAAUCCAAGGCUUCACCAAGGGAGUUACAGGCUGUAGCUGCUACCAAUCAGAAUGCAACCCGAGCUGGGCAGACUUAAAGCAGUGCUAACAAGACCUCAACCGGUGCUUCCCAGGCUGUUGCUAGGGGAUGAGAGAAUGGAGCUAAGUAGUUCGAGGCUACAACCACUACAAGCAAGCCCGCUAUUGGUGCUCCUCAGAACCAAACACUGCAUUCCAAGCCUGAUGCUAUGUAGUAUGGGACUGAAGCGGGGUAGAGAUAGGAUGAAACCAAUGAGUUAGAGAAUGAAGCUAAGGAGUGGGAGAAUGGGGCUGAUCGGGGUAAGCCUGAAACAAGGUAGUUAAAGACACUGCCAAUGAAACUAAGUAGUGAAAGAUUUGACCCCAGCAGUCACAGGCCAAGCAACGGGGGCACUCCAACCAGGCUUCAACCUACUAACAACCAGUUUUAACCAAGUACUGUGUUCGCCACUAAGGGGCCAGCUCUAUCUCUAGUCCAGAGUAGAGGUCGGGUUGGGAAGAAAAGAAUCCAGUGAGUAAAGUAGGGGUGCCGCGCCUUAGGAGGUAUAAUAGAAGAAGGUAGUUAACUAUGCGCUCUCUACUCUUAAGGCAUCAUUGAACUAUAACUAGGGCUUCGAACACCAAUUCAUUACUACCACUAAACCAAUGCAAUGAAAAAAGACGGUAAAACGCAAAAGUUGAUGACUUGAGGACCUCGCCUGGAGGGAAAUUGUCUUUGCAACGAAAAAUCCCGGGGCCAAGUCACUACUAAUGUGAUGCGGCAGGAGUCCCCGCACAAAUCUCAUUUCCAUGGAUCGGUCCAGGAAGGAAAAGGACGAAGCUACCUUUUUUACCGAGAAAACGCCAAAUGAUCAUUAGAAAUUGGACAUCUAUUAGCGGGCCAAGGAACUACUAAUGUUCCGCGGCAGGAGCUCCCCGUCGCUAUCAAAAAACACGGUAAAACGCAAGAUGAUUGCCCAAACAAGUAGUAUAGUAGUAGAAUCCCUUGUUCCUGUUCAUAAGUAAGGUUAUGAGAGGCCCUUAUAGUCAGUCGGGAACCAUCUUUGGAAGCAGUUAAGUCAGUUCAGUUCACCAAAUCACCAAAACCAGAGCAAAGGUAGAGGAGAAAGAGGUGUAGUUAGAGAAGUAGAGGAGCCAUCAAUAGCAGUUGUUUGUCUAUCCGUUCCUUGGCUCAUAGCUUCGUUAGUUUAGUGGUUGAGUGGUAGUAAUUCAUUGGUGGCAGAUAUAUAAGUUGCCCCUUAUAGUAGUAGUCCAUUUGAAUCUGUAUUAGUUGUGACCAGUAGUAGUCCUGUUCUGGUGAUUGUUUCAUACCGGUUGUACUGUUCUGGUUCUAAAGUAAGAGUAGCUGUUUCAAAGCAAGGACUUAUUGGCAUACUAAUAAGAAUAGAGUAGUGGAUCCGGAUCGGCAGUUAUGGCCUGUUUGUAAGAUGUUCGAGUCUUCUAGUCGUUAGCGCGAUUCCUAGUUGUUAAUUCGAAAGUGUUAGCUGGCUCCCCAGUGCCUAGUCCCGUCCUUGUAUGCCAAGUUCCAUUCUCUCUUUUGAGUUAGAGCUCGAGAAGCAGUAUAGCAGAGUUCCCGGUUUUAUAGGUCAAUUCUUCUAGUUGGAAGCUCGAUUCUGAUGUCGUAGUGGUUGGAAGCUCGCUUUUGAGCUGAAGUACGAGAAGUCAAAGUGCAGUUCUUGGUAGCACUAGGUUGAGAAUAACAAGAAACAAAGUCGGACUUAAUAUAAAGUAAGGCAGGGCAGUCUAACUAUAUUAAUAGGAAACUUUACUCCAACAAGAAAUGGCAGGCUAACUAUUAUGUGUUGAAUUCUAUCAGCUAGCAGAUGAAGUUGGAAGCUCGCAAGUAAGAACCUGUGCCAGUAAUCAUAGAAUGAGAUUAUGGAGCUAUAGGCUAAAAGCAAGUACUAGAAGAAUCAGAGGUAGAGCGCUAAGCCUGAGAUAAAGUAGAAAAAGACUGAUCUAUGAAUAAGGCGUGUGUACCGCUUGCUUGUGUAUUCGAGUAGUAAGGUCGUUUGACUUAGUCUCUUCGCUCGGGUAGUUAGCAGUGGGGCGAGCUUACAUACUUGAAGGCUGGAAUGUCAGUUCGAAGCUAACGAGUAGAAGCCUACAGCGCAGAAGCUAUAAUGCAAGUAAGGAUCCAACGACCCAAACUAAGUAAAAGUAGAAUGGAGCUACUGGCAAACAGACUUGAGCAAUACCUGAUAUAAUGGAACUGGUGCUUCUCAUAAUAGAGCUUACUGCCUAGCAGGUAAACUAUAGGUCUUACUCUCCUAGCGAUCAGUCUGCCCUGCCGCUACACAUUAGUAGUUACUUGGCGCGUAACACACACUAUUUGCUUUCCCUAAGUCUAAGCCUAAUUGACUCUACAGAUAAGCCUAAUUGAAAUAGUAAGGAACAUCGGAGAGAAGAAUAAGAAUAGAAAUAAGGCUACUAAUACUCACAUCAGAACGAAACAACAACUCUGUUAAUGAAACAAAGAACUCAGAUGAGAACUCGGAACUGGGAAUGUAGCUAGUGGGUAUCAGGCUAUCCCGGCCCGAGUUACAGGCUUCACUCACUUACUUUCGGACUCAAACGACUCCUACUCAGGCUGAAGCUAAGGGUAAGCUAGACUGAUAUCGGGUAGUCAAAGAAUCAAACUAGGGCUAGCAAGCCUUCAACGAGGAAGUGACAGACUGAUGCUAAGGAGGGAAAGAACCAAACCAGUGCUAUCCAGGAAUGGGAGGAGGUAGUUACAGGCCUAAACUCAGAAGUAAGGGCUUCCACUACGUCAACAAGACUCAUGCUCAUAACUAAGACUAAACUGGGGGCAGCGCCUCUAACCUCCUGUGUCCGCUUCUACGGCUCUAACUCAUAACUUAGCUAUGGUUUAAUAAGUACCCAUUUGUAUUAUCUGUUAUUUACCACUAGAAACUCCUGUCUAAGCCUUUUUAUCCCCUGUAGUUCUCUUCUCUGCCUAUAUCUCCUGUUUCUCAAGCUGACACUCCGCUCCUAGCUUUUAAGUAUUGCUGACUUCACUGGCACUCCGAGCUUUGAUUCCGACUUCCUUGACUUUGAGUCUUACUUAUUUGUUUGGCUCCUCCGCUCCUAACUCUGACUAUUACACUCCUUGGUGAAAGCCUCCCUUGUUAGACUUCUGCUUUUAGUUGCUUAGCCCCAGCCUUACGUCCAUGUUUUAGUCUUUGACUCACCUCUGGAACUCUUUAACUGUUAUACAAACUUAUAUAAAGAAUAUUGAUACUAGAACCAAGGUGCUGAAAGCCUCAUACUAUCAGAGUGACCCUACUGCUUCUAGGGCAAACAACUCCAAGUUUGGAUGAAACUAUAGCACCAACGCUCUUAUUCCUUACCCCAAUGCACUAGCCCACUUUCAAACUUACACUCCGGGGACCCGAUCUUACUUUCCGGGCUUUUAAAGCUAUAUUUCACCUAUAAGGCUUGCUUCCCUGUAUUUCUAUAAUUAUGAAAAUCCAGACUUGUUUUCUUGAUUCCAUCAGUUAGUCUGCCUCUACUCGUUUUAAGUCUCUCUUUCCUGGCUACCACUCUUACUUUCCUGCCUCCCUUUACUUGGGUUCAAACUUUGACUACUGCCCUAUAAGACAUACCUAUAAGAAUACCACCUAUCAAACUGGGAUCGAACUACAGCUAAUAGGACUGACACGGGGAACUCCGCCUUUCUCCCCUUUCUUUUAUUCUUGGAUAACUAACUACAAUACUAUAGUAGUAGCUAACGGUACGAGGCUAGCGCAUCUAAUCUAGUAAUAUACUAAUAGUGGUCUGAUCUAGGGCAUUAGAAUACUUAUAGUGGUAAGUGGUACGAAUGCAAAAAGAACUAAUCAGAAAACAAAUAAGAAGUCAGAAGUCGACUAAGAAGUAUAGUAGCGCAUCUAGAGAUGUAGAAUCAAACAAGCAAGUUGGAAUCGAACAAUAACACGGGAAUGAGACCCCGAACCCAGUAGGGUAAGGGCUAAUGCUCAAAGUCAGAACCAACCCUACAAUAAAGAAGAAAGUAGAAAAGGUCAGGAGAAUAAACAACCAAAAUGAGGCAAGUAGGAAAAGUCAGAGACAAGCUAACGCAAGAAUCGAACCGCUACUGGAGAGAAUCAAACUUGUAAUAAAGAAUCCGACUGCUGGCUUCUAGGGUGACUAAAAGACUUUACCUACCGCUAUAGGAAUGCGUCUACUGCUUAUAAGAAUUCAACCCGAAACUUCUCAGGCUGUAGCUACUAACUAUCAGAAUGAAAACACUGCUUCUAAGACCCUAGCCCGGAACUCAGAGGCUAACUCACCUGUUUGAGUAUGCCCUUACUCGCUGGAAAACGCUUUCAGCACCCUCACUUUUAUGUUCUAGCACCCUUACUUGUUAGCUUUAGUCAUGUACUGCUCCUUUUCAUUCCUGAAUCACUGAGUAGGAUCUUCGCUUCAAAGCUUGGUGCUAUUGCUUCUAAGAAUGCUACUACCCCUUAUUAGAAUGUACCCGAGGAGCCCAAGCCUCACUCUAAAACUGGCAUUCCCCCAUCUGAUAUUGAUUAUUCUGUUCACGUAGAAUAUAUUCUAUUCCAUUUCAUUAUUCAUAGGAGACAAACAGCAUUCUGAUUAUUCAUAGGAAACAUCAUUUUCCACCAAGUAGUACAAGAUUCAUAAGGAGAAGAAGCAAACCAAGAAACCGAGCCAUACCUUUCUUCUUAGCAUACAAAACCAGACUAGUGGGGCACUCUUCUCUUGCUCCUAUGUUCUGACUCUUGGAAUUGACCCUUGAAUUCUGUAGUAAACCUAUUAGCCUGCUAUUCCCUAGUUGGAGUAUCACUUGACUGUGUUUUGGUAUAACUUUAAGGACUUCUAUUCUGAAAUGACGAAUAAGCAGAGUAGUGGUAUGAUCCCACUUGGGCAUAUAGUAAAGGUAGUUAUAGUAUGUGUGUUAUUACCUCGUGUAUAUUACGAUAGAGAGUAGGCGGCUUCUGUCUUUCAUUAUUUAUUUCAUCUAGCAGGAUUAGGCUCCUUAGACCGGCAUCCUGACUUGUAGUCUCCUAGCAAGGCUCUACUCUUAUAGCUCCAUAUUAGUAUUAGCAUUAGUAUACUUACUUGAAAGUUAGCAUUCCUCUGAUUCCAAUACAGACUCCGAGGGCCUAGCCUAUUCUGUACUCUUUCAUUACGUAUGUAUCUAGUGUUUGAUUCUGUCUGAUCUAUGGCACAUUGUCCAUUAUUUGACUACAGGGUUUCUAAUAAUUCAAGAAAAAAUACAGAAACUGGGAACUAAGCCCCUCAUCCACUGUCUAUUAACCCCAAACAGAAGAAAUAGACUCAGCGCCAAAAAGCAAAGACCGCUUUGGGGCCCCAGUAAGUAAGAAGAAAAGACAGGACAGACGGGUAACUCAAUACCCCCCUUUUAUGGUGGAAGCCUCAUUAGUUAGUAGUUAAAGCCUUGGAGGCAGUGGUCCCAGUCUGAUAUGGUGGAACGUAGUUCUUAAAGCACCAGCGUGAGCUUGAAAGUAAGGAUCCGGUCCAGUGACUACAGCCUUAACUAUAGGGGUUUGAGUCUGAUAAUUGGCUUUUGCGCUCCGUAUUCUCCUUCUCGGUGUGAAAGUAUAUGCUUUCAUUUCAUUCUAAGCUCUAUUAGUUGUAUUCAAUGAUCUAUAUAUUGACCAUAAACCCAAUAAGUUAUGUUAGAGUGUCAAAUGCACUAAUCCAUUGAUUUAUUGGUUAAGGAAGAAGAAGUAUGCCAUACCUGGGGCCCAAGAAUUCCACUAAUAGGCCAUAACCCAACUAGACAAGCAAUGGUGUAAGGGAGCAACGGUGUGAGGAAAAGAAUUUCGCUCAGAAUCUCAUAGUAAAGAAAGAAACAGCGCAUAACGAGUUUUGUGACUACAACUUAUGUGUCUUCGUAGGAUAAAACUACUAGCUAUAAGAAUAUCGCUACUACUGACGGGUCUUUGCUUUACUGUUUCAAACAAGCACUCCUCUCUUAUGUUGAGUCUGAAGUUGACAAGUAUGGGUCUGUUUCUGGUUCUCAAGUAAGGGAUAGGCCAGGAAGCUAAGCAAUAAGUAAAGAAGUGCAGAAUAGGAGAGGAAGCCUAUAAGUACUGAAUUACAGAAUGCAACCAGUAAACCAGUAAGUAGAAGGAUGAACCGACGACCAACAAGAAUGGAAUUAGUAAGUAGGAGUUACAGAAUAGAACCAGCAAGUAAGGGGCCAAGCGCCUAGGCAAGUAGACAAGGCAACAAUACCUAUGGCAACUAUGAACUGAAUGAGGUAUACCUCUUAUCCGACUGUUACUACUGAGUUGAGUGCAUUUCUUUGUCUUCUACUAGAUGCGCUAGAUCUAUCUCCUUAUGUUUAAGUCUUCAUUGAUGGGUGACUUUGGACUUUGUUCCUUAUUUCUUAUAGAAUAUGAGUUCAAAAGAAGCCGGAGAACCAUAAGCACUCUUCUAUACCUCGACUCGCGUUACAAUUCGGAAGUAGUUGAUUGGACCUAGCUGCCCUGGUUAAGUCUAGUAGGGGCUUGGCUGUUGCAAGAGUUCAAAGAGAUGAGAUGAGCCGGGAGUGCUGUGCUAGUUUCAUACCGGUAGUAGUUGUCCUGUUUCAUAAGAGGUGUAGUCCUGUAGUUUCGUAGUUUCAUCAGUAGUGGCGGCUACCAAUGAGGUAAUUGAACGGCGUAGUCCAUAAGUAGGAAUUACAGAGAAGCUGGAAUGGAACUCAGUUGGCAAGUAGGGAGAAUGUCCUGUUCGAGCUUACAACUUCGGGUAGUUUAAUGAAGUGACCUCGGGUCGGCUGGUUGACUUACUUGGAAGCUAGGGUAGUCAAAAGAUAGUACUUACUUGUUUUGGUCGGCUUGCUUAGUUGCUUGGCUAUCCGUGUCUUGGCCGUCUUACUUAGUUGCUUGGCCCGGAGUCCUAAUUAAUAGCGUCAGCGAGUUCAAAAGAAUCCAAUCAGUACUAUAAGAAUAGAACUCGGGAAUCAAACACUAAACCCGAAAUUCCACUCAGAACUAGCAAUUGAACUAGGAACUCCACGAAACUACUUAACUGGCACUGAUUCCAGAGUCGAUUCACCCUGGCAAUGAAUAAGCUUACAUUGUAGUUCCGGAUCGAUAUACUGUAUUAUGUAUUCGUGUAUACAAGGUUGGGCAAGCAGAAGUGCUAUAAUUACUGAACCUUAUCCACACCAGUUCCAUUCUCAUUAGUAGUAGCUCAAUUCCUAUGCUCUUGCUUAAAAAACGGAGAAUCCCUAACUCCAUUCUGUAGUUCACCCCGAAAACUGCCAUUCAGGUCUCUAAGUCUCGUAGUUGUCCUUUUCGCAUUCCCUAUUUCCCACUUUGAUUCUUUGGCUUACCGCUCUUAGGCUCCACGCUUUGAAGCUUCGUUACUACACCCAAUAGAAAGCAUAAUGCUAAGUCUUUCUUGACCUACCCACACAGACUUGACUUGAUCCUGACAUGCCUUUAUGCGAGGUUUCAGUCUGCUAGCCCUGUCCCUAACUCUUACAAGUACUUGUUUGAUUCCUUAUCCCUUGUUUUAGUAUGUGCCUCUCCUGCUUUGAAUUAUGCAAUUAAGUAUGAAGUUAACUUAUAUGAGAAUUGGGUUUGUUUCUUUUUGACUCUAUGUUCUUAUAUAAGAAUGCAAAUGAUAACUAACAGAAUCAACCUAUGUGGUUAACUAUAAUCAGAAUUGAGCACUGCACCACAGGAAUGGAAUUACCAGAGAGUAGGAAAUCCACUACUGACUUAUAAGAAUCCAGCUAGGGAAUAGGAAAUCCGCUACCACAGCUACAGCUCUAAACGGGCCAAAGCCAGAAUCCAGCUAUAUGGCAUUCUGAAUUGAAUCACCGAUCAAAAGAAUGGAACAUGGAACUCAUACUUUGACUGUUGGAGUGUUCUAUGUUUUUAUUCUUAUUAAAGGAGAGACCUUGCUUUACUACCUACGAUCCUUACUUGCUAGGUUGAGUCUACCUAUCCUUCCGGGCAUGCUUGCCUGCGAGUUAGAUCCUUACUACCCUUACCCACAUUACAUAUCUCUUGUUCCACCCUGAUACUCCUUACUCAUAUUCUUAUUCCUAUUAGUAUAUUAUAUGUUAGUAUAUUAUAUGUUAGUAUUAUUGGUAAGAUCUGGGGCAUAUAGAUAUCGGAAUUUGUGUUAGAUAUAAGAACCAUAAUUCAGAAGUAACUGGGCAGUAAACGUUCAUUUCAGACUUGAACCUACAACUAGGACUUUCCCCUCAACCAAAAAGAGAAAAGGAACUGGAGGAAACGGCACAGCUAUCAAGCGGCUUUUCAAAUGCGUACGGACGGAAGGUCUCAUCGCCCGAUGGAGAUGGAGGGGUUUGAACUGGCUUGAAAAAGAUGCCUCUAUCUACUCUGGGACAAUAAAUGACAAGUUCUGUGUUUCUUUAGAGCCUACAUCUAAUCUUAGAAAAGGACAUAGCAUCCCUUUUUUCUAAGGAGUUACUGCAGUUGGCGUGAGAGGGUCUGCUUGCUUGUUUGGGAGAAAUUAAUAGUAAGGGCCCUUCUUUUGAGUGCUGUGUUCAGCUAGCGCAUUCCUUUCUUUUAUAGAAGUAGAGAGGCCCUUAUAGUCAGUUUCCUCUAUAAUAAGUCUCGGGAAGCAGUAUAUUGACUGGGUUCUGUACCAAGUGAAGGAAGUGCUCGAUACGAAAGAUUCACGAUACGAAAAAGAUUCAAUGAAUUCUCUGACUUCUGCUUACGAAGUUUAGUUUAAAGACUGUUGCGCGGCACAAGACAACUAGAAAUUCUGGUUGUUAGCAGGUGCAAGCAGUGGCGUCGAGGAUAGUUCGGCAAGGGGGAAGAAGAUGUUCUAAUAGAAGAGAAAAAGCACUUAUAGUAUAGUACUGCUAGUAGUGAGCGAGGGCAGUAAACUCGUAUCAACUCUUGGGGUGCUCCGGGCAAGCAGUUAGGGAGUGACUUAAGUUGACUUCUUUCUUGCCAACUCCGUAAAGUACGUGUUACUUCCUCUAAUAAUGAAGACAUCUCUCUUUCUUAUCGGAAAUCGGUAAAGUGAAUAGUCAUCAAUUCUUUCAGUUGACUUUCGAAUAGUGAUCGGAAAGGGACUCUCGAUCUGGUGUGAAAGCCUGAAACUCAGUUGCAACUAUCUGAUUGCCCUAACUACACUUGAAGCUGAUUGCCCCAACUCCCCUUAGUACAGAGUCUAGCUCCGAUGCUUCUGCUUCAUCUCUUGCAGACAAUGCUCGAACUGCUCAGAUCCAUGAAGCAGUUAUUAACAAGUCCUGAGUUCAUGGCGGCAGGGAGUUCUUUAGCAAAGGCAAAGAUAGAAGACAAGCCAAUUACCUUUACUAGACAAUACUGGCAACUGCUCUUUCCACUUAGGAUUCUUUUUCUUCCCCAAGUCCUGCAUUCAUGGCGGUAGGAGUGAAAAGCGAAAGGGCCGCUCUUAUGUUUUAGACUUCGACGCUUAGCCCACACAGUAUAUGUUGAGAUCUUUUGCUGGUCUGGUCUGAUAUAUCUUCUGUUUCUUUAGUCAUUGUGUAAGAUCUAUCUCGACGGUAAGGGUAAGUAAGGGUAGCAAGGAGGACCACUGGGGCAAGGAAUUCUCCCGGCUUACAACAAAAACGAAGAUGAGAAAGCCACUCCACUUGCUUGCCUAGAAGGCCAGUUCCCUCUGCUGGAUCCCUAACUCUGGGGUCGGCAUUUGACAUCACCUGUGGCCGUAGCCUGACUCUGUGCUUUCUUUUAUUGAUCGAGCUUAUACCGGCCGUCCUGAACUCGAUCUUUUCUGAAGCUUGCUUGUUCCCUUACUUGCUGUUGUUGCUGUUACUGACUAUUUGUAUCUUUCUUUGUACUGAAUACUCUACUCUUUUGGUACGUGUUCCUUUGCUUGUUCCCCGCUCUGUCAGUUCUUAUUCUUAUUCAUAUAGUAGUAUGAUUCAUAUAGUAGUAUGCUUCAAUCUAGUAUGAUUAUUAAUAUAGUAUAAUUCAUAUAGUAGUAUGAUUCAUAUAGUAGUAUGCUUCAAUCUAGUAUGAUUAUUAAUCUAGUAUGAUUAUUAAUAUAGUGCACAUAGCAUAAAAGAGAGGAAUUUCUGCAUUUCCAUAAGGCACAUAGAUAGCAUCUAAUAUAGUCAGAUUACCUAAGGCACAUAGAUAGCAUCUAAUAUAGUCAGAUUACCCGUCGUAUAUAUACUCAACAUACGCUACUUGAUACUUUACUUAGAAUUAGAGGGAAGGGGUAGGGGUGACAGAAUACGAGUGUUUCUUUGGGUGCGAGUGAAGUCGAUGAGAAUUGACUUAUUUCCCUUAAUAGCCUGAUUUCCCUUAGGCCUUAAUAGGCUUCUUCAGCGCCUCGUGGUCCAAGAGUCAAGUCGCUUUUGAUUCCGUUCGCUCCGAGAGUAAGCGUUAGGGGCUUGUUCUUGCGAAACAGCUUGUUUCAUGUAAGUGCCACCCAUUAGAUAGUUUCAUGUAAGUGCACCCCCAUUAUAGAAUUCAGUAAAAACACCUCACUGCGGACUCCUCUCCUUACCAUAAUAACUCAGCUAGGCAGCCCGAAACUUCCAAUAGUGGUUAACGUCUAGGAAAACAAAUUCAUAUGUAAUCUAGAAGACGGAAUGCGAGUAUCAAGUCGUCAGCAGCCACGUAGCAGUUCUGAAAAUGUCGUUUUUUUCGAGGAAGAAUCUCUGACUUGCACGGUAAGUGAAUGUUCCGGAUCUGGAUUUGAAGAAAGUGAGGCGACGAGAGAAAGCAGCGGAAGAGUCAAAGGCGAAAACAUAAGAAGGAGAAACCCAGGAGGAAUUAGAGCUAGGAAACUUAGUCUUAAAGAGAUACAUUAGUAUCGGACUUCUAGUUAAGAGUUGUUGGCUAACUUGCGGGAGUGCCAGAGUCGAACUAAAGUAUAGUAAUAAGAAACUCCAGAAUGAAAUGAACAAGUGAAAGAGUGAUAACCAGGAAAAGCAUACUUUAAGAAGGAGACAUAGAAUGAAAGUCCAGAGGUGGUAGUUUGAGUUGAAGCAAAGAGACAUAGCCUUGAAUACGAGGUAUUGAGAAUGAGAUGAAGCAGUAUCACACUUAGGGCAGGAAAGUGAGUCUUAUCAGCUAGGCUUUCAGCACCUUGUAGUAGAGUAGUCCAGAGCCCUAACUUGAUUUGUUAACUACGGUAUCGGAGCCAGCUGCUUUGCUAGUUGAAAGAAGUAUGGGUUGACCAAGUCCUGUGUUCGGGAGCUCAAGAAUGAGAUCGAGUAAGGGUAGCUUUGAGUUCCGGGGAUAAAGGCGUGUAGGCCAGGAAGCAAGAGUAGUUAGAAUCAAUCGUCGUUGCUACAAUAAGUCUCAAAUAAGGCUCUCACUCACAGGCAAAAGGAUGCAAGGGACAACUAAGGAAUGGAAGGGGCAAAUACACGAAUGAAAGAAGGGAGUUACCAAGGCUAAUACCAGAUUUCAAUAGUAGAGUGGGCCUAUGGAUCAUCAAACUCAAAUAUAAGCUUGGACAUCGAUACACAAAGGCAUUAGGUUCAGUAAUACCAGUUUGAAACGAACAAAAGUCCGGCUUGUGUUCUAUGCGCUCUUUUCUGUAUUUAGUUGUUGCUUUAGUCUCAUGUCCUAGAUCGUACCAUACCCCUACUACCUAAUGAGUCUUAUAACUCUAAUAGGAGUUUAGUCCCCUGAGCCGAGUACCCCUACUUUAUAGAUGACUUCUGAAAUUCCUACUUGUCUCUUUGACUACUGGAGUCAAUUCUUACUUGAUUGUUUUUGUCCUCCAUUACGUACUCUUUGUUUUGAACUUCAUUCUGGAUUUCCCACUUGAGAGUUGAGUUGGCGACCCCAGAGUUCGAUGUUAGCUUCAUGCUUAGAAGUAGUGGUUGGAUUCCUUAUUCUAAUAAAAAGUAUUAGAAGGCCCCACCGGUUUAAGUCUUAUAAGUCCUAGGUUAAGUACUAGUGGAGUUCCGACUUCUGUCUUUGAUUCCCCCGCUUUAGCUUCUUCAACAACAACCCUUGCACUGAACUGAAUUCUUAUACUUNNNNNNNNNNNNNNNNNNNNNNNNNNNNNNNNNNNNNNNNNNNNNNNNNNNNNNNNNNNNNNNNNNNNNNNNNNNNNNNNNNNNNNNNNNNNNNNNNNNNNNNNNNNNNNNNNNNNNNNNNNNNNNNNNNNNNNNNNNNNNNNNNNNNNNNNNNNNNNNNNNNNNNNNNNNNNNNNNNNNNNNNNNNNNNNNNNNNNNNNNNNNNNNNNNNNNNNNNNNNNNNNNNNNNNNNNNNNNNNNNNNNNNNNNNNNNNNNNNNNNNNNNNNNNNNNNNNNNNNNNNNNNNNNNNNNNNNNNNNNNNNNNNNNNNNNNNNNNNNNNNNNNNNNNNNNNNNNNNNNNNNNNNNNNNNNNNNNNNNNNNNNNNNNNNNNNNNNNNNNNNNNNNNNNNNNNNNNNNNNNNNNNNUAGUUGUUCUUCCCUCCGAGCUCAAUUCUUAAAUGACUUAUUCCGAUGCUUUAGGGCAUGAGUAACAGAGUAGGAGUUUUGAUAGUGUUAGUGUUUGCAAGCCGAGGCUUUAGGGCGGUAGUGACAGACUGAGAGAUAUUAGUGGAAAGACUUAUAGCUGGCGAGUUCUUGGUGACUCAGAGGUGUUAACUAUAGGCUUUAAGAUAGUUGUUUCAGUUUGAUGGACAAGAAAGUAGGGUUUUAGUUCCGGAGCGCCAGACUCAAGUUAAGAAGUAAGGCUUUUAGACUGCUGGGUUUAGUUCUGUAUGCCCAUGUUUCAUUCUCCUCUUUUUUGUAAGAUUCUUAGGGAGCUUUCCGCCUUAUAGCUUAGGUAUUGCAUUCUUCUUCUAACUUGUUAUGUUUAUUAGAGACAAAUUGAAACUGUAGAAUGGAGAUCAGGAGUGAAAGGAGUGUUAUAAUACCGAUACUAGAGUUAGGAGUAUAAGAUCUGAGAAGAAGCCAGGGAAGCAGUUCAGUAAGAAGUAGAGGCUAGAGUGUUGAGUAAGCCCGAAGUCAGUUACUAGAGAAGAAGGGAGUCAGUAGUAACAGACCGAUUUCAUCUGUAUUUGUAGAAAGAGCACCAGGUGGGCGAGAAAGAGGGCAGUCGAUUCUUAAGAGUCAGUAUUUCAUACAAUAACUUCGGAGUAGUGGGAUCAGUAGUUUUGAGUUUCAUCCCAAACUCGUAGUAGUCCAUUUCGAGGUAAAGUUGCAAGUAUAGUUCUUGCCCCAACAAGUAGUGUAGCCAUAGUUAUAGGAGAAGAAUUCCGUUAAGUUAAUAGUUUCCAGCAGGGCCGCUAGUGUUCAUCCAUCAGCUAGCAGCGCUAGUGUUCAUCCAUCAGCAGUAAGUAAACUCUCUUCUUUAGUGCAAUACCAGGCUCCCUGUUUCCUUGCCUUAAAUUAGGUCUUUAAGAGAGUACUGGUUCUUAUGCUUGUGUUUAAGGCUUACACUCCGUUCCUUGUUGGUCAGGUUAGUGCCAGAUCUGUAUUUGUUCUUGUAUUUCUCCUUUUGUUUCCAUUUCUUUGAGUUUGGAAGAUAGAUCUAUUUCACACCAAUAGCAUUCCUCGAGGAAGUGUAGUGAGCUACCCAUUCUAUUUGUAUUUUAGGCUUUCAGAGCACCCGAAGGCAUAGAGAGUCAGUCACUCAUUCAAUAUAUAUUAAUGAGCUAUGAGCUGGUCCAGUAUUCUAGAGUAUUGUUUCCUUUCCUCCUGAAUAGCUUUCUUAUGUACAGGCUUAUUCAAUAGUUAAUGGAUCAGAACCUGCAAUAAGACAUAGUUAAUGGAUCAGAACCUGCAAUAAGACAAUAUAAUGAAAGCUCAUCAUCAUGACAUUAUUAAUAUCCUUCCUUCGAGUGACCCCAGCUUAUCUAGGUGAUGAUUCAGGUGCUCUGAAUUACUAAUUCUUUAUAUCAUCUUUAUAGGAUUUAGAUCAUCUUUAUAGGAAGCUUUAGCUUGCUUAGGCUGCUAUUCACUUAUCGAAUUCAGUUCAUCAAACUCAACAUCUCUUUGACAUCACAACUUUGUUUGAUAAAGGAUAGGAUAGUUUAUAACCACUGGAAUUCUGAGCAUAACCUAAUAGGACAGUAUGCACAUUUCUGACUUAUGUCCUCGGUUCUCUUAUCUUCCGGUAUUUUGGCAAAUGGAACACACCGAAAAUGAUCAAAUGAGAAACUCGGCGUAAGCGCUCCAUACUGAUUCUGGUGUAACAUUGCUAAUUCGCGGAAACCUGUUAAGCAAAUAGACUGCACAAGCGACCCCUACUAUUCAUGAGGAAGGAUUCUUUCCAAACUAAUAGAUACAUCGAACAAUGUAAAGGAGAGUCAAUCAGUCCGUACGGCCUAUGUCAUUCUAUCUGAUACUCCAUUUGGUUUGGGUGUUUUUGUCAUGGUUCAUUUCCGUAUGAUUCUAUAUUCUCUUUCCAAAGAACUUUCCCAUUUUAUUGAUGUGUAUUCACGACCCCUAUCUGUUCUUAAGCAUUUUGUCCUACCUUUGUAUUUCAACCAAGUUCAUUCAUUCCUGAAACUUUGUAUUUCAACCAAGUUCAUUCAUUCCUGACAUUGACUUUACUUAGAACUUAUUAGCUUGCAUUUCCCUAAGUAAACCUCAGUUUGACCACUAUGAUCAUUAGUACUAGUAAGAAACCACCUGCUUCCGGAAAGUGAUAUUGGACGGGUUAAGUCUGUAACACCUACAGAUCAGUCGGAGUAGCAGUGCUUGAAGUCUCAGAUGCACUGGUUGUGGUCUGUAACUGCCUUGGUGCAUUCUGAGGGUCAGUGGUUGAAGAAUAAGUAGGAGUCGUUUUAGUCUGAUACUGAUUAGCUGCAUUCUCAUACAUACUGGUUUAUAAGCCUGCAACUCCAUUGGUUAAGUCUAGCUACCCUUGCUUGAAGUCUUGGAGUUACUGCUUUGGUUCUUGCUGGCACUGGCUUAAGUCUUGGAUUAACUGCUUCCCUUGCAGACCCUACUUCUGGAGUUUGAGCACCCGACUAGACCUAUAAUAAGUGUUCACCCCGAACCGACACAAGAACAGAAAGAGUAUCCACGGAAGUCGACCUAGACCUCGCAACAAGGUCUUCAACAAGAGAACCGACCUCUUAUAAGUGCCCGACCUCUCAUAACCUCACUUUCUUCACUGGAACUGGGGGGUCUCCUCUGUCAAUGUCCACAGAAUUCUACAAGUUGCUUUCGAGAAGAAGCUAGAUCCGGUGCUGGUGAGGAAGCAUAAUAAGUAUAGUCUCCUUCAGUCCCACAGUCCCAGUGUUGUCCCCGGGGUUUAGUAAAAUAAUCCCAAGAUUCUAGUAUCGGGAGCAGGUUCAAUGUGUGGGUGCAUUCCUUCUUUAUAGAUGGAUAUAUAGCAUCAGUUCAUAAAUUCAUGUUUUACUUAACUCGGCGUAACAAACAAGUAAGGGAACAAACAACUAAGCAAUAAACAAGUGCAAAGAUGGAGCGAGGAUGGGAUAGUGCAAAGGAACAGGCAAGCAAAAUAAUGGAAUUUCCGUAUUGUAUAGAAAGGCACCCUGUCAUUAUUGAAUCAGAGGUAUUGUGUUGACAACGAGAAUGUAAGUAGCAAGCGUCAAGUCUAGUUCUAUGAUUGGCUUUCCCGAGUGGUGGCCUUCUAAGAAUAAGCUGUAUGAGAAUAAGGAUCUUCAGCCACAGAUGGAGCAGGGUCUUUCUCGGCGGUCUCGGUUCGAGUUCAGUCAUAUCAAGAAGAUAAUCUAGCUCGAAGAGAAUACCCACGUUGCGAUUAAGCCGUAAAGUCCCCAGUCCCCUUCUGUUCGAGGUUAGGAAUAAAGAUCAUAAUAAGGAGAAGAUGUAUCAGAAUCAUAUGGAUCAGAUGAUUGAUUAGAAUCCACAGUAGAAUCCAUAUUUGUUGGUGACGAAGCUGGAAGUGAAGUUGAGUUCGUGGAAGAUUUUAUUACUUACUGUGAACCGAGGUGUGAAUGAGUUGACUAUAGGAUAGAAGCUAAGCAGUAUCUGGAUCUGAAAGGAUUCGCCGCCAGCCUCUCAAUCUUCUUUUCUUAAAGCAGCAGAAAAGAAACAAGCUUUCUUGCAAUUGAGUCCGAGUCGGGUCGGAAAGCUUCAAGUAAGGGCAGAGGUGUUCGCUCAAGUGGAUCAGUCUUAUGCUUCCAAGUAGAUGGAAUUUCCGCCUAAGCCCCGCGAGUCCGUUUCCGGACACCUCGUAUCAAAGCAGUAGAAUCUGUCCUGCGCUCUUUGACAGUUCUUUUCUUUUUUAUUAACUUACAUUAGAUAUUAAGACUGACUUUGUUUAUUAACUUACAUUAGAUAUUAAUAAGUGGGUAACUAGAUCAUCAGCUGUUGAAAGAGAGGAAGCCGACCACAACUCUAUUACCCUUACCAUCAAGUAAGGCUAGCUAACCAAACCUCGCAACUUUACUAGAGCGUAAGCACCAAACCAAACCUAGCAACUAACUACAAAGCUUGGCCCUUUCUUCCCCGCUUGCUGCUUCCUUUAGGGACCCAUACGAGGCACCCGCAUCUAUAUUAUUCACAUCUAUAUUAUUAUUAUAUUCUCAUUAUAGGAAUUGACACCCAUACCCGAGUCACCGAACUCUCUGGAACUACCCCCAAUAGUAAGUAAACCAGCCAUGCCUAUGAAGUAGCAGAAACCCUUCUUUCGAGCCCAAUGCGGGCAGUACAGUACAGUAACUAUCUCUUAAUGCGGAGAAGCAGCAAGUCAACUCUAUUCUUAAGGGAAGCUAUGAAAGGACUUGUGUUCGUGGCUUUGAAGCGGGUAAGGAGAGAAAGGGGAGUGAUUGUGCUCGUGGCUUGGUCAUUAGUAGUGAUUUGGCGGUCAUUAGUUGUUGUUGGCCUCAGGAAAACGGAUUGUAUGCCGCUGCUUGCCUACUUUAGAGGCUUAUUCCCACUAGAAAGAAGUAGCACGGCCGCUAGUCAAUCACCAUACCUUUAGUAGAACUCUAGACUUGAAGUCUAUAUUGGGUACUCAGGCUGAAACAACCAACUACCAGAAUCAAACACCUAACUACCCGACUUGAACCAGUGCACUAACAACAAGACUUAAACCAGUGGUCUAGGUAGUAUAGUAGUUGACAGAGGUAUCGAAGCCAGAGAGGAGAAGAGUUUCAUUCAAUACAGGUACCUGAGUUAGGAGUGAAAUGAAAUACCUGAUCCGGAGUGGAAGUUAGUAGGAGAUAGACUCUGGUUAUGAGUAAGCCCGAAGUCUGUCACUAUACCAUUAAUUUGACACCCAUAUCUUGCUGGUACAGGUUCGAUUCACCAAGCAACUACAACAAGAGAAUCGGAUUGCUAGUCUCCGUUUUAGAGGUAUAGUAGCAAUAGGUAGAGUUGCCUUGUCUACUUGCCCGUAUAUACAAGCUGCUUGUUAGUUGGGUGACUUUCUUCUAUCUAUUAUAGGGGUGUGUGCACUCCAUUUCUAUUCCUUUACUUUCUGGGGUGGGUGCCCAGCUGAGUUCAACAAGUAAGGAGUCAACAAUCCACUAUGGUAGCACUGAGGUUCCCGCUCCGUGCAGUGUUUUGUUACUCUCAUAUGCAACUGAUUUCAAUUCAAUGCCAGGUUUCUCAAGCAGUAAAGUAGAUCGUCCUGGCGCUACUCGCACUACAGUUGUUGCAGAGAGAAGCAGUUGCAGGUUUAGUAUCUGACAAGUCACUACUAACCGCUUCAAAAGCACUUGCAGUCUACUGCACUGGAACUAGACCUGGACUCUCAUCUACCUCUGUAAACUAAGAACUUCUUUCAAGAGCUAUACCAACUUAAUAUAAGGGCAACAGCCAAGCGGAUACUACAGGACUGGAACCCUACCUAGCGCUCAUCUAACUUCAUUCUGACUUGCUUCUUUAAGACAUCUCUUGCUUUAUUAAGACCUCUUGCAACUAUCCCUCUGAUCUUGCUCUUUGAACUCAGUUAGUGCUGACUUUCCCUUGCUUGAAGAGUCUGAUCCUUUCCUGGCACUGCUUCUUCUUGAGUAGACCUAUAACCCAGCUUCUUUAUAAGAUGAAACGAGGGGUGCCGAUAAGGGUUGAUGCAAUCGGUAACUAUGCUUUAUUCUUUUCUAGUUUACUAGAUCGUACCUGCUUCUAUGUCUUCCACUGGAUGCGCUAGAUGUACCCUGUUCUAUCUUAUACCAAUACUAGAUGCGCUAGCAAGGACUUGCUCAUAAAGGGAAGCGAUUACAGGACUUGGGGAAGAAAGAGAAUCCGGGUUGUUGACCGCCCCUACUCUUUGAGUCUAGUGGUAGUGGUCCAGUGGAUAGGCCCUCGCUUUGCUAUUAUGUCUAGUAAGACUGAGCUAUGUAGUUAAAGUCUUGGUAUUGGUCGCUAAGGUCUCUAUUGCUAUGUAGCUAAGGUACUACUAUAGGUAUGGUUAGCUAAGGUAUCUGAGCUAGUAGUUAGGGAAUGAAGCUAAGGAGUGAUAGAAUGAAAUCAGGUGUUCGGGAGCUACUGCCACUCAGGCUUCAAUCAGCGCAUCCAAGCCUUAAACGAGGGCCAAGCUUGGUCAUUAGUAGUUGUUUGUCUAGUAGUCACUUGGUGCAUCAGUACAAAGAUCAGAAUUCCACUGAGUAGUCACAGAAUGAAAUAGGACCCCUUAAGUCACGGAAUGCUCCCCACUCGACAAAGAAUGCAACUUGGUAGACUUAGCCGGAAACUCAGAAUUCAACUCAUCGGUGAGCUAGUAAGCAAGUCAGAAUCAAACUAAGAAGCCGGGUGCUCAAUUGGUUGAAUGAAACUAAGUUGUUUCAGAAGUAGAUGAGCAACCACUUUAUGAGUUUCCCUUAUAUUAAGUUGCCAGAGUGAAAGGAGAAGAAUUCUUGUAGAUGCUAGCAAUAACUUUAUUUGUAGCCUUUAUAUUAAGUCGUGUCGGUAGGCAAUAAAGUCAUACUGAUAGGCCCUUCUAGUCAGUUUCGGGUGCCAGUUUAGUGUUGUAGUGGAGAAUUGAAAUUACUAUAAGUCCAGGGCGAGGUAAAGUAGAAAGUCCUGUUUUUGGGGCCGCUCUUCAUCCCCUGUUCUCUUGACACUCUAGUAGUGGAAAGUAGUUCUCUUUAGUAAUAAUACCAGAGCCAAGCUCCUUGUUGCGAGUGUGAGUUGAAGACCGGUUAGUAUAAUACCUUGGUCAGUAGUCGUUAGUUGCCCUUAGAUUAAGUCGCCAGAGGUAUGGGAUAUCUUAGUUUAGGUAAGGGAGUGAAUUAGUACUGGAGUGAAAGAGUGAGUCUAGUGCAAGUCCUGUGUGAGCCUUUUAAAGAGAGGUCGGGUCAUCUAACUCUAGUGGAGAGUCCCUUAUUUACAGUUUCGGGAAGGUAGAAUCUGUAACCAAGGAAAAGAGGGUUCCAGUGGAAAUAGCAAGAAAGGAAGUAUUUGUUGGUUGACCAAGGAAAAGGGGUUCAAUUAUUAGUGUUCUACCAGAUGUUGUAGUGGUUGAAUUCCCUUACUUACUAGUAGCAUUCUUGUUGUUAGUGGUUUGAUUCUUCUACUAACCUAGUGCUCUCAAGUCAGAGUUCCACUUUCAGGGGAUAAACAGAAUCAUGAGCUGAGCUCGGGUAUGAUAGAAAGAAGUAACCUCGGAUAGGAUAUAGCUUCAAGAAAGAGUUGGGAUAGGAUAUAGCUUCAUGAGUUGUCCAAGCAGAAUGAAGUUCAUAGUUGCCCUAGAUUGAAGUUGCCGAGCCAGUAGUAUACGCUUGAGGAGAGGUUGCCAGUACUUUUCUUGUUGUUGGUGAAUACCUGUAGUUGUAGCCUGAGGAUAGAGAGUAAAGGGAAUCAAGAGAAGAGGAGUUGUUUGUUUCAAGAGCAAGAUCAGAGGAAUCUUAGGGAUCAGUAUCAAUAUAAGUAUACGCUGUUCCUAGAGGUCGGGUGUCAGCCAGUCCAGAAGAAGACCGGUCAGUAUAAUAUUAAGAAUGUAACAUCGUGUAGCACAGAAAGAAUAUAGUUCCCAAUCAGUUGGCCCGCAUCUAGUAUACGCUUGGUCAUAACCUGUUCUUGUUAUGUGCUUUUCUUAUUCCAGUUGUGUUCUAGGCCUUGCCCGUCUUACUUAGUUGCUUGGUCGUUAGCAGUUGCUUGGCGGUCGUUAGUAGUUGCUUGGCGGUUUCAAGUUAGCAAGGACAGUCUUCUAAUGGGGGCGGGUCUCCAGAUCAGUGGUUAAGGUAUGUUUGGCACUAGCUCUAUUCUAGUUAGCCAGUGGCGGGAUCAACAGCAAAAGUGUUUUUAGUUUGGCCCGGAUUCUUAUUAGCAUCGGCGUUUUCCCUAUUUCUAUUCUAAUGGAGCAGAGGGUGUUCCUAAGGUAUUGCUGUCAGCAGGUGAAGUCUGUCUUUUGCUACUUCGGUUCUGUAGUUACUAGUUUAGAGCGCUGGGCUGUGUACUACGCCCUUAUUCUUCUAUUAAUGAGUAAAAGACAUUAAUUAAGUCAAGUAAGCUUAUAGGGGCUAUGAAGUAGGGCUUAGUUAAAGGAGAGACCAUGCUCUAUGUGUGAGUGUUUGGAUUCUAUGUUGCUUGUUUGAAUAUUGUUAGCCGCAGCUGAUUUACUAGUUUAUAGCUCCAUUCUUUUUCUUAAUCGUAUACACUAUUUCAAUCUAGUUCCGAUUGGUUUCAUGCGGAAAGCAAGCCCGAGAUCAGGUUCAAUUAAAGUAAGCGCGGCAGGCCUAGGAAAGUGCAAUACUGAUUUAGAUGUAAGAGUUCUAUUCUAGUAGUUAGUAGUCACAGUCUUAGAUAAAGUAGUUCAAGCCCCAGUUCCAAGCUAUAGUGUUGUUAGGCCAAGGCCGUGUUCAAUUGCCUGUUUCCAGCUAAGGUAUUGUUGGUGGUAUCGUGUCUGUAUCGAUGGCCACUUAUGAGUAAAAGCCUUAUAAUGCGUAGAGCAAGCCCUAGUUCUUAGUUCGGUUAUUGUUGUUGGUGUUCAAUAGAAGGUUAGAUAGAGGAUCUAUUUUCUAUACGACAAAUCUGAGGUCGUAGUGAAUCCUAUGUGUUACGCGCCUAUCGCAGUUAAUCCUAUGUGUUACACCUAUAAAUGUAGAGGAAAUAGAUAGUAAAUGUAGAGCCAAUAUAUAGGUUGGAUAUUACAUAGAAUGAGUUUUCCAUGGCAACAAAUCUGAAGGCGUAAGGAUACCGGGCUAAGUCAACUAAUGCUAAUAGUAGUCAAAAUGAAUAGUACGCUAAUGGUAGUCCAAACUCAAAUGGUAGUCAAAACGAAUAGGUAGGUGGUAUAUGAUCUAGGGCAUCUAAGCAUAGGUACAUCCAGCGCAUCCACUAUAAUAACAACAAUAAUAAGUAGUAGAACAUAGAAUCAACUCAAUAGCAGAAGAAGGGGACAGUAAAGCAGAGAUCCGAAUUCUAAUCAUACGUAGCACCCGGGGAACUCUCUAACGCGCUUAAUAACUCGCUAACGGGCAAACAAGCGGAGAGCAAACAACUCCAAGAAGCUUAUGCGCCUUGAAUAGAAUUAGUACACCCAUUGGAGAAUGGAAGUAACCAAACCGAACUCCUCACUCGAAAUCCAAAAAAGAAGAAUAGAAGUGGUCCAUCAUAUAGAAAAAGUGAAUUAAUAAACUAAUGCACCCUCUCCUCAGUCUAUCGUAAGAGCGCAGGGAAAGGAAAUACACUCUCUUGACUUAAGUUUAAGAACAUCGACGACUUACUAGAUUGGCAUUGGCGCACCCGCUUGUAUACUCGUUUUUUGACUUCUUUCUUCUUUAACUCCACCGCUUGCUUGUUUACUGGAAAUAUAGAGAAUUGAUGAAUUCCUAUCAGUAUUGCUUUAUUGCUUAUAGUUCGUGGAACAAGCAAUUUGUUGCGCUUACAUGAGUUGUGCGUUAGUGAGUUCAAUUGAACCCUAGACAAAGGUUACCAUCUUAUUGCCCGGACUUGCAUGAGAGUCUGAUGAAGCGCCCGUAGGUAGACUAUUUAUUAUGGCCAGCGCCCAGCAGCUCUAUUCCUUUGACUUUGCGUGCUUGGCUUAAUCUUCGUGUGACCCAGACUUAUAUACGCACUAAAACCUCUCUCACUUAUGAGAGAACCUCUGUCACUUAUGAUACACGUCACUGAUUGCCUUUACUUCUUAUGGGCUUCUGCUUGUUCCAAUCAUACGAGUCUUUUUUUGAGCUUUUCUUGAACAAGUAUAUUGUACAACACUGGCACCCAAAGAUACUCUACCAUAGAACUCACUUUAGCCUUAGAAUUCUUUAUACUCUCUACAAUUACACUGAAACUAAACUUAAGUAGAGACCGCUUCAUUCUUUGUUUACUCGGCGCGUAGGGGAGCUUCAAGUUCCAGUAAGGAUUUCGGGAGUGUAGUGGGCAGUAAGGUAUUCGAUCUCUAGGGUUGGUCCAGCCCUGAGCCCAGAGUGAAAGGCUUUCAUUGCGCCUAAGGAGUUUGUCGGGCAAGACGCAGCAGGAAGGAAAGUAUCAAUACGAGUUCCAGAAAGAUAAAGCACUUGUACUAAAUACAUUAUAAGGAGUUAUUAACGGGUCCGGCGGUGACAGAAGCUCUUCUUUAAGAAUGAGUUUAAGCAGGAUCCGGAAAGGGGAAUCGAAUUGAUGAGUAUAGAACAAAAGCAAGGUAAUAAGAAGAAAAGGAGAAGUCGACUUGGAAUGCUGGUCUUUCACUUUCAGUUCUUGACCCUGUAUAGUAAGCUUGAUUAUGGCCUUCCUUCUUCAACCCAACCCUGGAACUUGGCUUUCCCUUUGUUGGCAUGGCAUAGAGAGAAUCCGCGGUAAAGUCCCCCUGGACGGUUAAGUGGGUUUACGCUCUCCUUGUAGUAG